rnacentral:misc_RNA from 1 species
UACGGAGGGUGCAAGCGUUGUUCGGAAUUAUUGGGCGUAAAGCGCGCGCAGGCGGCCAGUUAAGUCUGAUGUGAAAGCCCGGGGCUCAACCCCGGAAGUGCAUUGGAUACUGGUUGGCUAGAGGGCGAGAGAGGGAAGUGGAAUUCCUGGUGUAGGGGUGAAAUCCGUAGAUAUCAGGAGGAACAUCAGAGGCGAAGGCGGCUUCCUGGCUCGUUUCUGACGCUGAGGCGCGAAAGCGUGGGUAGCAAACAGG